CCUACGGGAGGCAGCAGUGAGGAAUAUUGGUCAAUGGACGGAAGGCUGAACCAGCCAAGUCGCGUGAAGGAAGACGGAUCUAUGGUUUGUAAACUUCUUUUAUAGGGGAAUAAAGGUAUCCACGUGUGGAUAUUUGCAUGUACCCUAUGAAUAAGGAUCGGCUAACUCCGUGCCAGCAGCCGCGGUAAUACGGAGGAUGCGAGCGUUAUCCGGAUUUAUUGGGUUUAAAGGGUGCGUAGGUGGUUUUUUAAGUCAGCUGUGAAAGUUUGUGGCUCAACCAUAAAAUUGCCGUUGAUACUGGCAGACUUGAGUGUGUUUGAGGUAGGCGGAAUGCGUGGUGUAGCGGUGAAAUGCUUAGAUAUCACGCAGAACUCCGAUUGCGAAGGCAGCUUACUAAGCCAUAACUGACACUGAGGCACGAAAGCGUGGGGAUCAAACAGGAUUAGAUACCCGAGUAGUC
rnacentral:rRNA from 1 species